rnacentral:lncRNA from 1 species
ACACACAAAUCUCAAAUAGUAUAGAAUUUCAGAGUUUACAUAAUCAAGAGAUAUCACAUGAAAUAACAUAAUAUGUUUUAGGAAACAUUUAUCUUUAAAUAGAUUCGACGCGCCCAUUCGACUCUCCACGCGCCUCCGAUAUCAAUCACCUGAAACUGUUGAAUAUGGGAUGAGCAUACAGGGUACACUCAGUGUGGGAACAUGCAAUAAUUGUCCAUGUUAAUAAAAUGGUAACACAUAUUGUCAUAACGUAACAUAACUUCCAUACGCACUGUGGCAAUCCAAGGACUUUAAUGUCCCGGACCCUAUAUGUGGGCCCCUGGCGACAAUAUAAUGGUUGCAACCCUGUAACAUGAAAUCGCUUUGUGGCAUACCAAGGACGGUGAAGUCCUGGACCAAUUAUGCUGGCCCCUAGCGAUAAAUAUUUUUACAACACAUACGGUAAACACAUAAUAUUAAAAUAGACAAAUAUUAACCACGUGCAUGUACUGAAAUAAAUCUCACACCUGAAACUUGAGCUUUGAAAGUUAACUGCAAGAAUUUAAAGUUCACAUCCUAGUCGCGCCGCAC